UCCCCCCUGUGUGCCUUGUCCCCACGACUUACUACGCACUCCUACGGGAGGCAGCAGUGGGGAAUAUUGCACAAUGGGCGCAAGCCUGAUGCAGCCAUGCCGCGUGUAUGAAGAAGGCCUUCGGGUUGUAAAGUACUUUCAGCAGUGAGGAAGGUGGGUAUGUUAAUAGCAUACUCAUUUGACGUUAGCUGCAGAAGAAGCACCGGCUAACUCCGUGCCAGCAGCCGCGGUAAUACGGAGGGUGCGAGCGUUAAUCGGAAUUACUGGGCGUAAAGCGCAUGCAGGUGGUUUGUUAAGUCAGAUGUGAAAGCCCGGGGCUCAACCUCGGAAUUGCAUUUGAAACUGGCAAACUAGAGUACUGUAGAGGGGGUAGAAUUUCAGGUGUAGCGGUGAAAUGCGUAGAGAUCUGAAGGAAUACCGGUGGCGAAGGCGGCCCCCUGGACAGAUACUGACACUCAGAUGCGAAAGCGUGGGGAGCAAACAGGAUUAGAUACCCUGGUAG
rnacentral:rRNA from 1 species